rnacentral:misc_RNA from 1 species
AACGCACCUUGCGCUCCUUGGUAUUCCGAGGAGCAUGCCUGUUUGAGUGUCAUUAAAUUCUCAAUCUCAACAUUCUUGUAAUGUUUGCAGAUUGGAUGUGGGGGGGUUAUUUGUGGGGUCUUUUACAAGUUCCACUCCCCUGAAAUGUAUUAGCUGGAAUGCCUUUGCAAACCAACUAUCAGUAUGAUAAUUAUCUAUGCUGGAGUUGAUGUGAUAGGGAAUCUGCUUCUCAAUCGUCUUUCACAAGACAACUUUGAACCAUUUUGACCUCAAAUCAGGUAGGACUACCCGCUGAACUUAA